rnacentral:rRNA from 1 species
AACGCGAAGAACCUUACCUACCCUUGACAUCCUAAGGAUUCUGCAGAGAUGUGGAAGUGCCGAAAGGAACUUAGAGACAGGUGCUGCAUGGCUGUCGUCAGCUCGUGUUGUGAGAUGUUGGGUUAAGUCCCGUAACGAGCGCAACCCUUAUCCUUAGUUGCCAACACGUAAUGGUGGGGACUCUAGGGAGACUGCUGGUGAAGAACCGGAGGAAGGUGGGGACGACGUCAAGUCAUCAUGGCCUUUAUGGGUAGGGCCACACACGUGCUACAAUGGUCGGUACAGAGGGAAGCGAAGCGGUGACGUGGAGCGAAUCCUAGAAAGCCGAUCGUAGUCCGGAUUGAAGUCUGCAACUCGACUUCAUGAAGUUGGAAUCGCUAGUAAUCGCGAAUCAGAACGUCGCGGUGAAUACGUUCCCGGGCCUUGUACACACCGGUACUA